CCGAUGCUUUUCUUCCCCGCCGCUAGGUGGCACUAGUAUGCUGCUCGUUUGCAGGUGCACUGCUAUUAAGUCUGUCAGUGUUUUCGUGAAUUUGGUGAAGUGUGUUCCUGUGGCAUCACCUCUUAACACUUCAAGCCACAUCUAAUUAAAGGAGAGCAGUAAUUUUCGGAUAUCACGGUUCAUUCAAGGCUGUGUGAAUGUCAGUGCCAAAACCUGGUGUAUUAAAAGGACGACGUCUCAUGGGUCUAUUGCAUUUCCAAGUCAUGAAUCGUCAUGGCGUUUCACUCUGCUUCACUGUUUACCUUUUUUAAAGAUCGGAUGUCAUGCAAGGUGUGAAUUCUACGUAUGUACGUCUUUAAGAGUAUCUUCGACAUGGGAGCUUGGAAAUGUAAUUGUAUCAAGCUUUUUUCUUGUGAAGAGAACUCACUCUUUCGCGCUCGCGUGCUGCAGGUCCUUGUAAUCAGAACUGUCUAAUUGAUUAUAGGGGAUUCGAAUGAAGUGAGUACUUUACAGUAAAGUUCCCAAUACUCAGAAAAACCCCUCGUGCUCGUUCAUUGGCGCGCUUCCACGAAUGGACACAGUUCAGAUAUUUGAAUGUUUUCUAAUAAUCGGCUCUCUGUAGCAAAGAUUUAAGGAUUCCAACCUUGCAAACGCCUGAUAACGAUAAAGAGGAACAAUAGACAGCUAUCUAAUCUGUAAGUGAACGAUUCAAAUAAAAUCAUAAAAAGCUUGAUAACGAUAACGAGGAACAAAAAACUGCUAUCUAAUGUGCAAGUGAACGAUUCUGAAUAAAAUUAUAAAAUGCUCGAUAACGAUAACGAGGAACAAAAAACUGCUAUCUAAUGUGCAAGUGAACGUUUCUAAAUAAAAUCAUUAGAAGCUUGAUAACGAUAACGAGGAACAAAAAACUGUUAUCUAAUGUGCAAGUAAACGAUUCUAAAUAAAAGCAUAAGAAGCUUGAUAACGAUAAAGAGGAACAAAAGACUACUAUCUAAUGUGCAAGUGAACGAUUCUAAAUAAAAUCAUAAAAACUUGAAAACUACCCACCCACAUUACGAUUCGUCGGAAAAUACCACUGUGACAUUUAGAAGAGCAUCAGUUCCCUUCACGGCGGCAGGGCGAUCAACGUAGUUCUUUCCAUUCAGAUUCCAUAGGAGGAGAACCUUCAUAAUGGCUCCAGUGAAGGAGGGCUUUUGCUGCUGGAUCACGCCUCUUUUUGUACUGGUUCUGUGCAAGUGCCGGACAUUCGCUUGCUAUGUGGUUUAUGGUCUCCUUUUUCAUAUUACACUUCCUGCAUAUGGGUG